GACGAACGCUGGCGGCGUGCUUAACACAUGCAAGUCGAACGCUGACGCUCAGCUUGCUGGGUGGAUGAGUGGCGAACGGGUGAGUAACACGUGAGUAAACUGCCCUCUUCUUUGGGAUAACGCCCGGAAACGGGUGCUAAUACUGGAUAUUCCCUGAUUCUCGCAUGGGGGUUGGUGGAAAGGUUUUUCCUGGUGGGGGGUGGGCUCGCGGUCUAUCAGCUUGUUGGUGGGGUGAUGGCGUACCACGGCUUUGACGGGUAGUCGACCUGGGAGGGUGACCGUGCAAAUUGGAACUGGGAUACAGUCCAGACUGCGACAGGAGUCGGCAGUGGGGGAUAUUGCGCGAUAGGCGAAAGCCUGAAGCAGCGGCGGCGCGUGAGGGAUGGAGGCCUUCGGGUUGUAAACCUCGUGCGCGCAAGGUCAAACCGCAGCUUUGGGUUGUGGUGAGGGUAGUGAGUAAAGAAGCGCCGGCUAACUACGUG
rnacentral:rRNA from 1 species